AAUUGGAUACGAAAAAUGGCAAAAAGUUGUGCUCAAUUUUCUUGGAUUUAUAUUGUUUAAAUUGACCCAUUCUGAUAACAGCACAUUGAAUGAUAUUAUAGAGCAGAAGGUGCGACUAAGAUAUUCAACUGACUCUUAUUGUCACGCCCUUCAAAAUCAUCUGCAAAUGGGCAUAGUCGCUAUGGGAUGUCAUGAAAUCAUACUCGAUAACGAUCAGGUUAAGGCAAUCAAAGAAGAAGUAAAGCGAACGAAGUGUCUUGAACUUGGCUCAUUAAAUCUGUUAGCGGGUUACAAUCUUGGGCAGGAGCUAAGCUCAAAGUGAUUUACAGCAAAGAACUUCCCAAGCCAGUAAAGCUGUUGACUGGGAUUUCUGGUGUAUUCUUGGAACCAAAAUCAGUACUUAAGAGGAUAAAAUUCCAAAAUCCGACCUUGAAAACCGGCGGAAGGAAGGUUAUCGAUGUCAAGGUCAUAAAAAAAUGUGCCAAUGCAAAAUGCAAUCUGAUCAAUCUUUCGAAAGUUAUCGUGCCUUCAAAAUGCAGACUACAAACUAUAGACAAAGUGAAACCGACAAAGUGAAAUUUUACGUAAAUUC